UACGUAGGGGGCAAGCGUUGUCCGGAAUUAUUGGGCGUAAAGAGCGUGUAGGCGGUCCGGUAAGUCAGCUGUGAAAGUCAAGGGCUCAACCCUUGAAUGCCGGUUGAUACUGUCGGGCUAGAGUCCGGAAGAGGCGAGUGGAAUUCCCGGUGUAGCGGUGAAAUGCGCAGAUAUCGGGGAGGAACACCAAUGGCGAAGGCAGCUCGCUGGGACGGUACUGACGCUGAGACGCGAAAGCGUGGGGAGCAAACAGGG
rnacentral:rRNA from 1 species